rnacentral:rRNA from 1 species
ACGGUGGGUGAUCUGCCUGCACUUCGGGAUGAGCUUGGGAAACUGGGUCUAAUACCGGAUAGGAGCCAUCUUUGGUGUGGUGGUUGGAAAGUUUUUCGGUGUAGGAUGAGCUCGCGGCCUAUCAGCUUGUUGGUGGGGUAAUGGCCUACCAAGGCGGCGACGGGUAGCCGGCCUGAGAGGGUGUACGGCCACAUUGGGACUGAGAUACGGCCCAG